rnacentral:rRNA from 1 species
UACGUAGGGGCUAGCGUUAUCCGGAAUUACUGGGCGUAAAGGGUGCGUAGGUGGUUUCUUAAGUCAGAGGUGAAAGGCUACGGCUCAACCGUAGUAAGCCUUUGAAACUGAGAAACUUGAGUGCAGGAGAGGAGAGUAGAAUUCCUAGUGUAGCGGUGAAAUGCGUAGAUAUUAGGAGGAAUACCAGUUGCGAAGGCGGCUCUCUGGACUGUAACUGACGCUGAGGCACGAAAGCGUGGGGAGCAAACAGGAUUAGAUACCCUGGUAGUCCCUGA